rnacentral:tRNA from 1 species
GCCCGGCUAGCUCAAUCGGUAGAGCGUGAGACUCUUAAGGAUUCUCCCGAUGUCAAUCUCAAGGUUGUGGGUUCGACCCCCACGUCGGGCU